rnacentral:piRNA from 1 species
UGUAAACUGGCUGCUUGGGUUUCC